AGGCCUAUUAGCUCAGUUGGUUAGAGCGUCGUGCUAAUAACGCGAAGGUCGUGGGUUCGAUCCCCAAUGGGCCUA